rnacentral:rRNA from 1 species
GGCAGCAUUCCUUUCGGGUAGAUGGCGACCGGCGCACGGGUGCGUAACGCGUAUGCAACCUGCCUUGUACAGAGGGAUAGCCCAUGGAAACGUGGAUUAAUACCUCAUAGUAUCAAUAUUCCGCCUGGUAUAUUGAUUAAAGUUUCGGCGGUACAAGAUGGGCAUGCGUAUGAUUAGCUAGAUGGUGAGGUAAUGGCUCACCAUGGCGACGAUCAUUAGGGGUUCUGAGAGGAUUGUCCCCCACACUGGUACUGAGACACGGACCAGACUCCUACGGGAGGCAGCAGUGAGGAAUAUUGGUCAAUGGACGCAAGUCUGAACCAGCCAUCCCGCGUGCAGGAUGACGGCCCUAUGGGUUGUAAACUGCUUUUCUAUGCCAAGAAACCUGAUUACGUGUAAUCAGUUGCCGGUAGCAUAGGAAUAAGCAUCGGCUAACUCCGUGCCAGCAGCCGCGGUAAUACGGAGGAUGCAAGCGUUAUCCGGAUUCAUUGGGUUUAAAGGGUGCGCAGGCGGUCUUGUAAGUCAGUGGUGAAAUCUUGCCGCUUAACGGUAAAAUUGCCAUUGAUACUGCAGGACUUGAAUAUGGUUGAGGUAGGCGGAAUGUGUUGUGUAGCGGUGAAAUGCAUAGAUAUGACACAGAACGCCNAUUGCGAAGGCAGCUUACUAAGCCAUUAUUGACGCUGANGCACGAAAGCGUGGGUAGCGAACAGGAUUAGAUACCCUGGUAGUCCACGCCGUAAACG